rnacentral:rRNA from 1 species
GCGAACCGGGGGAACUGAAACAUCUAAGUACCCCGAGGAAAAGAAAUCAACCGAGAUUCCCCCAGUAGCGGCGAGCGGACGGGGAGCAGCCCAGAGCCUGAAUCAGUGUGUGUGUUAGUGGAAGCGUCUGGAAAGGCGUGCGAUACAGGGUGACAGCCCCGUACACAAAAAUGCACAUAUUGUGAGCUUGAUGAGUAGGGCGGGACACGUGGUAUCCUGUCUGAAUAUGGGGGGACCAUCCUCCAAGGCUAAAUACUCCUGACUGACCGAUAGUGAACCAGUACCGUGAGGGAAAGGCGAAAAGAACCCCGGCGAGGGGAGUGAAAAAGAACCUGAAACCGUGUACGUACAAGCAGUGGGAGCACGCUUAGGCGUGUGACUGCGUACCUUUUGUAUAAUGGGUCAGCGACUUAUAUUCUGUAGCAAGGUUAACCGAAUAGGGGAGCCGAAGGGAAACCGAGUCUUAACUGGGCGUUAAGUUGCAGGGUAUAGACCCGAAACCCGGUGAUCUAGCCAUGGGCAGGUUGAAGGUUGGGUAACACUAACUGGAGGACCGAACCGACUAAUGUUGAAAAAUUAGCGGAUGACUUGUGGCUGGGGGUGAAAGGCCAAUCAAACCGGGAGAUAGCUGGUUCUCCCCGAAAGCUAUUUAGGUAGCGCCUCGUGAAUUCAUCUCCGGGGGUAGAGCACUGUUUCGGCA